rnacentral:rRNA from 1 species
AGCGAACGCUGGCGGCAGGCCUAACACAUGCAAGUCGAACGGAUCCUUCGGGAUUAGUGGCGGACGGGUGAGUAACACGUGGGAACGUGCCCUUUGGUUCGGAACAACUCAGGGAAACUUGAGCUAAUACCGGAUGUGCCCUUCGGGGGAAAGAUUUAUCGCCAUUGGAGCGGCCCGCGUCUGAUUAGCUAGUUGGUGAGGUAAAGGCUCACCAAGGCGACGAUCAGUAGCUGGUCUGAGAGGAUGAUCAGCCACAUUGGGACUGAGACACGGCCCAAACUACUGCGGGAGGCAGCAGUGGGGAAUCUUGCGCAAUGGGCGAAAGCCUGACGCAGCCAUGCCGCGUGAAUGAUUAAGGUCUUAGGAUUGUAAAAUUCUUUCACCGGGGACGAUAAUGACGGUACCCGGAGAAGAAGCCCCGGCUAACUUCGUGCCAGCCGCCGCAGUAAAAC